rnacentral:lncRNA from 1 species
GGCCACCAUCAGUUUCUUUACAACUAUUAAAGCAGCAGUGGGGUUGUGCUUGCUUAUUUCAGAGCUUGGUGCUGCUAAGGGGGUUACCUACAGGUGAAAGUCGUUUUCUUUACAAAGUUCUCACUUCCAGAGCAUGAGAGUUGAAAUACUGUGGUAUCAGCUCAAGUGGUGUUUCACAGUCUUUACGGUCAUGCAGGCUGGUGUUUCUCUCCUCUGAUUUCUUUAAUAUGGGAAAUGUUAGCUGUGAAGUCCUAAUCAACUAAUUGCUUCGGUCUUGCUAAUUGCACUCAGCCUGAUCUACAAAAGGAAGAGUCAUUGGACUGUUUUCAGUGUUUCCUCUGGACAGAGACUCCUUGGAAGUUUUCCCACCACAGAUUUGUUCUUAGUUUUUAUGCUGCUUGCAAGCACCACCAGUUUUUAUGAAUGGUACAAGGCUGAAGUGAUGGAAUUGAUAUCACGAUUCAGUCUCUCCUUGGACUUAAUGGAAGCUCAGAAUUGACAGAAAUCAUUCUGUUAGUAAAUGUAAAAUUUGACUCUGACUUAAAUCUGGAAGACUUCUCAAAACUUGGCCUAGUCCCUAUUUGUAAAUGCAUCUUUUGAUUUGGUUUAUUUUGGUUGUUUGGGUCAACCCAUCUUAGCCUGCUUGAUUGCAGGUGAGGAAAGCAAAGACAUGGUCCUGUUUUUAUUGAAACGUUAGUAUGCCAAAAUAAAAAUAAGAAUAAAAAUAGUGAAGAUACA